rnacentral:rRNA from 1 species
AUUGAACGCUGGCGGCAGGCCUAACACAUGCAAGUCGAGCGGGGUUUUCGGACCUAGCGGCGGACGGGUGAGUAAUGCGUAGGAAGCUACCCGAUAGAGGGGGAUACCAGUUGGAAACGACUGUUAAUACCGCAUAAUGUCUACGGACCAAAGUGUGGGACCUUCGGGCCACAUGCUAUCGGAUGCGCCUACGUGGGAUUAGCUAGUUGGUGAGGUAAUGGCUCACCAAGACGACGAUCCCUAGCUGGUUUGAGAGGAUGAUCAGCCACACUGGAACUGAGACACGGUCCAGACUCCUACGGGAGGCAGCAGUGGGGAAUAUUGGACAAUGGGCGCAAGCCUGAUCCAGCCAUGCCGCGUGUGUGAAGAAGGCCUUCGGGUUGUAAAGCACUUUCAGUAGGGAGGAAGCGUUGUGUGUUAAUAGUACACAGCGUUGACGUUACCUACAGAAGAAGCACCGGCUAACUCUGUGCCAGCAGCCGCCGCCGUAA